rnacentral:rRNA from 1 species
AUACGGAGGGUGCAAGCGUUAUCCGGAAUCAUUGGGUUUAAAGGGUCCGUAGGCGGACUAUUAAGUCAGAGGUGAAAUCCCACAGCUCAACUGUGGAACUGCCUUUGAUACUGGUAGUCUUGAGUUAUAUGGAAGUAGAUAGAAUGUGUAGUGUAGCGGUGAAAUGCAUAGAUAUUACACAGAAUACCGAUUGCGAAGGCAGUCUACUACGUAUAUACUGACGCUAAGGGACGAAAGCGUGGGGAGCGAGCAGGAUUAGAUACCCUAGUAGUCC